rnacentral:misc_RNA from 1 species
GCAGAGGGGAGCCGAUAGAGAGAAAAUGGAGAGAAAAAGAGAGAAAGAGAAAUAGAUCGUGGACUUCAGUUUCGGAGGGAACGGAGGCGAGCAAUCGUUGUCUACUCUAUCGCCUCGCAAAGCACACUACACCACCAGUUCACGCGUCCGUCCUGCCUGCUCCGUUUGUGUCGCCUGCUCCGGCUCUCCAUCGUGUGCUCUUUUCCGCUUUUUUACUCUCCUAUUUGUCUAUUUGGUUUUUAUCGUAGAUUUCUUUUUUCACCUUCACUCUCUCGGAUGUUACGGUGGCUAUCGAACAACGGUUCCGUACACAACGUUCGCAGAGUGCAGUCGCGAUGCGAAAUUUCCGAAAAACUUUAUCGUUUCAAAAAAAGUAGGUCAAUUUUCGAACAAACCGAACUUUCGAGCUCUUCUUCUCCCGCCCCGCAGGAAGUUCGGGGGCCGAACCGAGAACAGGGAAGAGCACGAACAGUUUUUAAAUCGUUCCUCACUGUAUUGCGUAUCGUGAACGAUAUCACCCGCUAAUCGUUACCGAACGAAGUUCAGCUAUUCUUUUUCUCACCGUCUCUAUUUUGCCGAAGAAGAUUUGAGGAGUCGACCCGCGGAUACACGUGGACUAUGAGCUUGUGUCAGUAUCGUCUUGACGAACGAUACCUGUUGCUAGUUAUUUUUAAAGCAGUGUUAGUACUUUGUAAUACUGGAUUUCAGUAGUUUUAUUAAAAAUAAGUAUCUACCUCCAAGUAAAUCCUCGCUUGUGUUUAGUGAAGUGUUUAACGUCUUCUUUUCUCUAAACGGAUUACUUCUUCACUCUUCUUUAGCUAGCUGCAGUAAUAAG